AACGCACCUUGCACCCUUUGGUAUUCCGAAGGGUACAUCCGUUUGAGUGUCAUUGUAAUCUCAUUCUCACAACUUUUGUUGUGUGGGUGGACCUGGGUCUUGUCGUGCUUACGGCUGACCUAAAACGCAUUAGCAUGUGCGCAUCAGUAGCGACGAACACCAAGUGGUAAAGCUUCCUUGGUGCCGCCUAGGGCGGAGUCGAGUGCAUUGUUCACUUUUGCCACAAGACAGAUUAGGGGAAUGGUUUUGAGGGAUUGGUCAGAUGGGUUCAUCUCUUUGAAGAUGUGGUCACUGGUCCCCUCCUGCCAUUUUACCAAGCUUGUACUGACAAUUUGACCUCAAAUCGGAUGGGAUUACCCGCUGAACUUAA
rnacentral:misc_RNA from 1 species